rnacentral:tRNA from 1 species
GCGGGUGUAUUUCAAUGGUAGAAAAUCUGGUUCCCAACCAGAAAACGUGGGUCCGAUUCCCAUCACCCGCUCCA